ensembl:lncRNA
GGAUUUUCGUGGUCCAUGGAGCAGGUUUUGUGGGAAAGAGGUUUGUGAGGCUUCCAGAUCACAGGAGGAGAGAGGCAGCAUUUUUAGCUGCGGCCGACAUCUUUGCUGACUUGUCUGGAAGUGUCCCUGACGAGGCCCCUCUUUUGUCCCUGGUCUCCUGGCUUUGGAAGAGAACCAGGAAACCGCAGACUCGGGUGGCUCCCUUCCAGGUAGGCAUCAGAGCCACCUCCGGAGUUCCUGUGGGGACGUUCAGGCCCUGGAGGCCACGUGUCAGGAUCUCCGGGCGCUUACGCCCUGAGGAUGGUGUUAGGGUGACAUUGAUUAAACAGACACACACACGUAAACGAAGCACCUUUGCUGUCAGAGUUCAUCCUGAUUUGCAGAAUCAACGGCCUUGAAACGUUCUUCCUCCUUCCCCACCAUCGGGGCAGUGGCGCCUGCCAGGAUCCCGGAGGAGCGUUGGCCUUGUCCCCAAACAGCCCCCGACCGGCCAUGGUCACGGAUGCGCCCCCAACCCUCACCCUACCCAGGGGCCACGGCGAAAACCAGAAAACAAACUCAGCAGGGUCCCCUUGCGCUAAAGAACCCGAGUCAGGAGGAGAGCGCGAUUUACGGGAGGGGCACUUCAUCCUCCUGCUUCAUGAUCCCUCCCGGCCAGGACACCCUUCCGUGGCUUGUCCAUCCUCGCCUCAUCUGCAGACGCCGUCUGAGGACUUGGUCAGUGGGAAGACGCUUGUGCCUCCUCCUCCUGCCAGGGCCCCCAGGACUUCGGUCCACAGGGGAGGAGACAGGCCCCUCUGGCCCCAGGUGGCAGGUCACUCAGUGCUCACAGGGCCCCCGUCCCCACCUUCAGCCUCUUGGCACCUGCACCAGUCGGCUGAGACUGUGUGAGAAAGCAGCACACAGGGGGCAGGUUAGACGACACAAAUCUAUUCUCUCCCAGCCCUGGAGGCUGGACGUCUGAGCUGCGGGUGCAGGCAGAGCUGGUUCCCCGUGAGGCCUCCAUUCUUGGUGUGUAGAUGCCGUCUCCUCCCUGUGUCCUUACACGGUCGUCCCUCUGUGCGUGUCUCUCUCCUGAUCUCUUUUUCUUAUGCCGACCCCAGUCCUGUUGGAUUGGGGCCCCUAUGUGUGACCUUAUUUAACCCAAUGCCCUCUGUAAAAGCCGCGUCUCCAAACACAGUCACAUGCUGAGGUCCUGUGGCCAGGGCUUCAACAUAGGGAUUUCAGGGACAGGAGACCCGACUCAGCCCACAGCGCCCGACACUCACUCCCCAAAGGGCCCCACGCUGGGCAGACAGACGCCUGCUCACACAUAACACACCCCGAGUUCCAGCAAACCCAGACACCCAGAAACGGCCCAGGAAUGAGGAGGGGGCCAGCCAGCCUUUCAGAGGCCUCUUUCCCUUCCAGGCCACCCGCUCUCCUGCCCUGCCCGCUCGAGGGGGCCUCUGGGGUACGGGACAGGGAGCACAGGGCCUCUGCUCCGGGCUGGACUGGCAGACAUUGCGGCCUGCAGGCAACACGGCGAGUGCGUGGACGCCACCAGGACCAACAGCCGCUCCCCGGAGGCGGGAGGCUAACUUUAGGCUAACCCAAGAUGCUGGGCUCUGAGGAGACCCCAGAGAGGCGGCCGUCCGGGGGGUUCUGCCCUGAGACAGGGAGCUUCACCACCUCCCAGGCUCGGUCCUCUGGGACUAGCCGCCUCCACUGCUUGCCCCUCCAACAACAACGACAGCAAUAGUAGUAACUGCAGAGGGCUCGCUGGUACCCAAGCCUGUUCACUGGGUGUCCCAUCCCUCUUGGUGUGUGGCAGGCUGGGCGGGCAGUGCUGGCAGCAGUUCCUGGCCAACCUGAAGCAGCGGUCCACACUCUGCAAGGGGGGAGGCUCCCAGAUGGCUCGCUGCCUCCUGGGCUCGCUGACCGGCCACUUCCACGCCCCAGGCUGAGCAAAGCCAUCGGGUGGCAGGAUGGGCCAGCCCUUGAGAAGGUGAGGGUUUGACUCAGAUGGGACUCUGGGUGCAGUGUUUCAGGCUCAGGGGUCUCCAACACCUUCUCAGAUUAACUCAGCGAAGCUGGGUGGCCCUCCCGGGGUGGCACAGCCCUUACCUUUCUGCAGGUCCUUAGAGGGAGGUGGGGACACCUGCCUUAGGGCCAUCGUCCCCAGAAGAAGGCCGGGGCUGGCAGAAAGCCUGUGCAGAGAGGGAGCCUGCAGCUCGCUCAGCAGUCACUGCAGGGCUCCCUGUCUUUCGUCACCAGGACUCUGACUGCAGAGCUGCACACAGCAGUUUAAAGCAUUUCCAGGGAAUUCUGGCCUCAACGAGGAUGUUUUUAAAAGGUCGCUCACCUUCUGCAUGACAGCCCCCCCCUGGACCAGCCACACGCCUCCAUCUGCCAGCUCUGACGUGCUGCCCGGCGGCCUGUCUUCACCAUGGAGAUGAACCCUGGGUGCCAUCCACACUCCACCUGCCACCGGCUCCUGCCGGCUGAGGGGCUGACUGCUGUGGCGUUGGCUGGAAAGGCCCUGAGGCUGUGGACGUGGGGCCCUGGGUCAUGCAGAGCACUGGGGGCGGGAGCAGGGCUGUGGGCUGAGAGCACGAUUUCCUUUCCAGGUUACAAAGUCUCAGGCUGCCUCCAGACUCAAUCCCAAAGUACAGGUGAUAAACAGCACUUUUAUGACUCCGGUUUACAUAAAAAGUGAAUAUUUCUGUGACGGGACUGAUGGGCAAGUGACUAAGAGAGAAGACAGCUGCAGUGGCCAAAACCAUCGCUGGGCUCCUCCCCACAUCGUCCACGGAGCUCCCACAGGUGACAGGAAUGGACAGUGGGGAAUGUGCAAAAGGCAUGAACAGGUGCGUUUCAGAACCGGGAACCCAGCGGGCUCACAGGCCGUGAGGAGACGUCCUCGCAGAGGAGAUGUUGCUUAUUGGCCAAAUAUUAAAAUACACACAGACUGAGGUCUCUCCACGUGUGGGGCCUGGGUCAGAAUACAGAGAUAGACCGGCCUGCCCUGCUCGCGGCUCUGCACACCGAUGCGCGCACGCACACACACAGGUGCACGGCAGCGCCCUGUCCUGACCUCUGUAGCCUAUAUUUCUCCCUUCACCGUGUCUAUUACUGAUUUCUUCCUGUUUGUACAUUGAGAGCUUCUCCCGUCUUGCCACUGCUCAGGCCUGAAGACUAGGCGCCAUCUCUAAUUCCCGCUUUUCCCUGGCAUCCCACACCUGGCUCCUCAGGGCUCCCAUCUCCAACCGCCCACCCCUCCUGUGUCCACCACCAGCCCUUCCUCCAGACCCCUGCUUCUCAUCAGACGGUCACUGUCGUUCCCUGGCCAGGCUCCUGGCAUCCACUCCUGACCUCCUAGGAUGUGUGGUCUACACAGCAACUGGAACGAUCCUUUGGAUGUUGAAAUCUGAUCGUGUUGUUUCCCUGCCUUUCAAGGCCUUGAACUAAAGUCCAAGCGCUCCCUGUGACCGCCCGCGGCUCUCCGUUUCUCUGCACUCGCUCGCUCCACCCUCCUGCCCCUCUCCCUGGAGGGGCCCUCUCCAUCUCUCUGCAGCACUCACCCUUCAAACGACUCUUUUCUGCCCAAACGGCUCCCCAGAGAUGUCUUCCCUGACCUGCUACACAAAUGGUACCCGGCUCCUUAUUGUGCUUGACUUUCAUCAAAGCCUUUCUCUGAGGUCAUCAAUCCAUCUUGUCUAGCUGUCUUUCUUUCUUUCUUCCUUUUUCUUUUGCUGAGGAAGACUGCCCCUGAGCUAACAUCCGUGCCCAUCUUCCUCUGCUUUCUAUGUGAGGACGCCUACCACAGCAUGGCUUGCCAAGAGAUGCCAUGUCCACACCCGGGAUCCGAACCGGCGAACCCCGGGCUGCCGAAGCCGAGCGUGCACAAUUAACCACUGUGUCACCAGGCCGGCCCCUCUAGCUGUCUUUCUGUCUAUUGUCUGUCUAGCUAUUAUCUAACUAGCUAGCUAUCAUCUCUCUCUCUCUCUCUCUGUCUAUUAUCUGUCUAUCAUCUAGCUAUCUAUCAUCUGUUGUAUCUAUCAUUCUAGCUAUAGAUCAUCUAAUCUAUCCAUCUAUCUGUCUAUCUAUCAUCUUUCUCCCCAGCCAGAAUGUAAGCUCUUUGAGAGCAGAAAUUCCAUUCGUCUGGUUUGUGGGACUGCUACGUAGUGGAUACUCCCUAUCUGUUGAUGUACUGAUUUCUUGUUAGUGUCUACUGAGCACGCUCACGUGUGGGCACACUGUCUAUCCAGUCCUGCGUCGAUGGACUUCACGCUAGUCUUUCAUUAGCUAGUAACACUAGCUAGUUUAACUUCACUGCUAACAGCCCUGCCGUGGGUGUCCUCGUACAUGUGGCCUCCAGCACUUCUGUUGGAAUGUAAUGAACUUGUUAUGAAUUGGUAAAGAAUAAAAAGGUAACCCGUGUUCAUGUUUCUGACUGGCUAUUGUCCCGUCACGAUUUAGGAAAUGACCCGUCUUUCGCCCGUGGUGUUAGUAAGGGGUUGGACUGUGACUUAAAAACACAGGCUUCUCUUGUCCAGGUGACAGUCCAGGGGCGGUCCCAAGGCUGUGCACACUGCUCGCUCCACCCGGCGCUCUCCUCCCUCAGGCAGGGCGUGCGGCCCGGGAGGCUCCUGGGACCCUGAGCACCUGUGUCUCCUGACAUUGCCUCGCCUGGCCCAGCCCUGCCCCAGGUGUCGUCCUUUCCUGUGAGACCCCAGAUCACUGCCAUGCCUGUGCCAGGCCAGGGGAACCUGGAGAAAUGACUUGUUGUGACUGCAUGUGGGUCGUGGCUACUGCAUGGGACCACACAGGAGAAUUCACAUGCGGGAUUCUGCCUCCGUCUCCCUGGCCCAGACUCAAGUCACGUGCUGCGCCUGAGUGUGAGAGCGCCCGGCUGUUGUCUCCACGGGGACAGCAGGCGCCAGAUCUGCAAGCAGCCAGGAGGCUGCUGCUGGAAAGGGACGCCGGGCCCGGGGGUGGUCAGCAGUGGGGCCACGGCCGCGUGUUUCUGCCCACAUUUCUAUCUAUUUGUGUCUCCUCCUGGUCUCUCCAGGUGGCACACUUGUCGGUUUGUCACAUCGUACUGUUCUAAUUUCUGCAUCGUUAUAAUGUGUCUUAACUUCUGGUAGAGCCGCUUCUUCCCUUGUUUGCAUUCCUAGUUUUCAGAAUGUUUAAACUCAUAUUUUCAGAGUUUUCUUGGGUUUUCUCAUUUAUUUAGUUUUUCCACGACGAGCUAAGCAUCAGUGUCUCGUUCAGAAGGGAAACCUGUUGCUUUCACGUGGCUCCACAUUUUAUUUAGAACAGGGUUGGCGAGAACCGACUCCUCCGUGUCAGAGCUUCUGUCCCGCCCUGGGGCCUGGUGGCCUUUACUCAAGUCCGCGUCGGCCUCUGGCGCGGUUUUAGUUUCUCCGCACAGCCCUGUGUGGUCUUGCUCCUUUGCGCAUGUGCUUGUUGCUGUCACCUUUGUAAAGAGAACGCUCUUCCUUAUUUGUUCCCCCUCAAGCUGGUUUUUAUUUAUAUGUAGAAAGGAGGCUCCCUCAGCGCGUGGAUUGUCACCAGCCACCUUACGUGUUACAGUGGCUCUUCCACGACGUUGCAUUUCCUGGGCACGCGUGGCACCAGCUUCCCGCAGUGAUGGCUGUGUGUGCUUCUCUUCACUGUUGUCCUCUCUGUGUUCUUCUCUCACCGUAAAGCAACGUUUAGUAAUAGCAGAGAAUAAGGAGAAUGUUUCUGGUGUUUAACUAUCAAGCUUGAUACUUAUUUUUGGUUUAAGAUACGCUUUUUAUCUUAAGAAAAUAUCCACUUACUAACUGUUCUUAAAAUUUAAUCAGGAAUUGAUCUGAAUUUUUAAAAAUGCCAUUUUAGCUCCUCUGCAAAUAAUUAUGUGGUUUUUCUUCUUUGACUUAUUAAUGUGGUGAAUUAUGUGAAUAGAUGUCCUAAUUUGAAGUAUUCUUGCAUUCCUUAGGGAUAAAUCCUGCUUGGCCAUGGUUCAUUAUUAUUUCAAUCAGCUUUAGAAUUAAAUUUGCUAAUAUUUUACUGAGGCUGUUUGCCACAAGUUUCAUCUACAAGAUUGCUCGUUUUGUGCUAUUUUUUUCAGUCAGUCCUUUUGUGCACAGGUCUCACCGUGCACGGUGACGUGCCCCCGCGGGAUGUCGACUUCUGCAGGGGCCAGGCCCUGGUGCCUGCUGGGACAUCGUCCUCUCACCAGCCUCGUGUGCACUGGGUGGCUUUUCACUGGUUGGAACUCUUGGUUUUACGCUUUCAAAGCUGUGUGUUUUUCUUUUGGCGAACAGAGAGCGGGACGCACUGCUGGGGGUUGGAUGCUCCGUCUAGACGGAAGCUCUGCGGCGCCUUCCUUCACGGCCUGCCUCUCCUCUGCUCCUCCUUCUGUGAGAUGGAGACGUCAUCGCCUCCUCAUGAGGCUGUGGGAUUAAAUGUAUUACUCAUAUGCAGACUUCUAAGAACGGCGCCAGGCACACAGUAAACACUAUUAUGAGUGUUUGCUAUUGUUAGGGUUAAUGCUGUUAUUCAUUAGCGCCAGAGAAUGCCAGGUUUAACUGGAGGAAGCCGUUCCUGGCUCGAUGCCUCCCAACGUCAGAGCUGGAGCUGGAGCUUGUGGGAAGGAGGCCCCGCUGGAGACAGGAGCUCGGAGACCUGGCCUGGGGGUGGGAAAGUCUCAGGGGCCACUGUGCUGGCCUGCAGGCUCAGAACCAUGCUCGCUUUUUUUUUUUUUUUUUGAGGAAGAUUAGCCCUGAGCUAACUACUGCCAAUCCUCCUCUUUUUGCUGAGGAAGACUGGCCCUGAGCUAACAUCUGUGCCCAUCUUCCUCUACUUUAUACGUGGGUCGCCUACCACAGCAUGGCUUUUGCCAAGUGGUGCCAUGUCCUCACCCGGGAUCCGAACUGGUGAACUCUGGGCCACUGAGAAGUGGAACCGUGUGCACUUAACUGCUGUGCCACCAGGCCGGCCUGGAGCCGUGCUCUCUUGCUGGCUGAAGCCCUCUCUCUUGUCCGCCGCCAGGGGCUGUCAUCUGCCUUGCUAGCCUGGGUGCAAGUGCAGGUGAGCGGGCCCUGCUGCUCGAUGCAGCGGUUGCCAUGGCAGAGCUGCUGUUUCCAAGCAAGGGUAGGAUUAACCUGGCAUCUAACUCCUUGGUCAGUGGAUUUAGUCCCGUCCUGUGUACUCAUCAAGGGCUUUGCUCUGUCAGAUGGAGUCUCGGAGCCUCGAGCAUGAAGGGAUGUCCCAACCAAUAAACUGCUGCCCCUCCAAGAGUCGAGGUGCAGGCCACAGACGUCCCCCAGAAUCGCCCCUGCACAGCCACACGAGGGAAGGUCAAAUCUGUCCAGAGGGAAGCCUCCUCCCCAUCACAGGACACUCGGCAGGAGUUGAAGCGGGUGGUGAGAGCUUGGUCACAGAGCACCUGGCUUGGAACCCUGGCCACGUGGCCCAUGUUCGACUCUGCCUUACAGACUCAUAUGGUCACCCGGUGGAUGGAUAAGGGGAAGCCAGCUGCCAUGUCAUCAGCCACCCUGUGGAGAAGGCUACAUGAUGAGGCCUCUGGUCAAGAGCCAUGAGAAUGAGCUUGGAAGUGGCUAGUCCUUAGAACUAGAUCUUCCAGCCUCGGUCCAGCUUCAGACGACUGCAGCCCUGGCUGACUGCUUGACUGAAAGCUCGUGAGAGAUCCUGAGCCAGAAAGACCCAGCUGAGUCGCUCCAAGAUUUCUGACUUUCAGAAGCUUUAUGCCAACGAGAAAAGAGAAAAGAAGUGGAAAGAGAGAGGAGAAGGGGCAGGAGGAAAGGACAGAGCGACGGCUCCCGGAGUUUGUCUUCGCAGACACUCACUGUCACUUUGCCGAGACAGAAACAGGCUCUGGAGCCAUUUGUGUGUCCUCAGAAGAGGCCGCCUUCCUAGCCGGCUCACUGGGCUCUGGGACCAGUUUCCACACAUUCCCGGAGGUCACACAUGGUGGUCGCAGAAGUCCCUGAUGGGGGAAGUGGCCUCGCUGUGGAUAUUUACACAUUUUCAACGCUCCUGGCCCAUCCCUGCUGUGUUUUCCAAGAGGGUGUAAAACCAAAUUAUUGCGCCAUUUGCCUGUUUGUCACUGAGGUUUUCAUGCUCAAAAUAUUUUUCCAGUCUUUUUCAAGUGCUAUUUCUUUUUAUAUUAUAAGGCAAAACUCUUCUCCCAGAAAAUAUGAACAUAUUUAUCA